rnacentral:ncRNA from 1 species
UGGAUGGCCUUUUUUAUUUGGUGGAGCGAUUUAUCUGGUUGAUUCUAACAACAAACAAGGCUUUAACCUGCUAAAUAGUAGACUGAUCCUCUGUGCUCAUUUAGGGCUCGGCUUCUAUUGCUUCUUUAUGGAGUAGUGUGGUCGUGAUCCGGCGGAUACGUUGCCAAGUUUAAUUCUUAGAGAAACAAGUAGCACACUUAAGUUGCACGAAAUUGAGCAAUAAAAAGUCCGUGAUG